ACGCUGUCGGCACACAAGACCUUUGGACCACCCGCGUCCCCGCCGCCCACAAAUCAGUUCAUUUCCAUCUUGAAAAAGAAAAUGGCGCGUGUUUUGGUUGGAGUUAAGCGUGUGAUCGACUACGCCGUCAAGGUGCGCGUCAAGCCCGACAAGACGGGCGUGGUCACCCAGGGCGUGAAGCACUCAAUGAAUCCCUUCGACGAGAUCGCCGUUGAGGAGGCAGUGAAGCUGAAGGAGAAGAAGCUUGCCGAGGAGGUCAUCGCUGUCUCCGUGGGUCCUGCCCAGUCCCAGGAGGUUAUCCGCACCGCCCUGGCCAUGGGCGCCGAUCGUGGCAUACAUGUAGAUAUCCCAGCCGCCGAGUACGAGCUUCUGCAGCCCAUCCACGUGUCCAAGAUCCUGGCCAAACUGGCGCUGGACGAGAAGGCCGACCUGGUGAUCCUGGGCAAACAGGCCAUCGACGAUGAUGCCAACCAGACGGCCCAGAUGACCGCCGCUGUCCUGGACUGGCCACAGGGCACCUUCUGCAACAAGAUCGAGAAGACAGAUGCCGGUCUGACCAUCACCCGUGAGAUUGACGGCGGUCUGGAGACGAUCAAGACCAAGACACCCGCUGUCCUGAGUGCCGAUCUCCGGCUUAACACUCCUCGCUACGCAACGCUGCCAAACAUCAUGAAGGCCAAGAAGAAGCCUUUGAAGAAGGUCACGGCCAAGGAUCUUGGCGUGGACACCACUCCCCGCAUCGAGGUCAUCUCCGUGGAGGAUCCUCCAGUGCGCCAGGCUGGAGCCACUGUCGCCGAUGUGGAUGCCUUGGUGGCCAAGCUGAAGGAGGGCGGCCACAUCUAGAUCCUCCUCAACUAGCAAAUUGUGAGCGCAAAUUCUACGUUUUUAAUUAGUUGAAGUUAUCUAUCAGAAACGUGCAUUUAUCCCAGCCUCCGAUCGUCGGAUCUGCUGACAGGCUUUAAAAUUCUACCCAUCCCCCGUGUGCUUUAAGUGAAAUCUAAAUUGGAAUUUAUUUUCGUUGUGUCCAGCUGUAAGAAUAAAGUGAUUGAAAUCCCGAUCCCGCUCAACUUGAUGCCCAAAAAAAAUGCGACGAGGUCAACACCCAAUGGUCAUUGAUUUUUCAUUGUUUUCGAUCGUAUUUAUUAGCGGUAAACUUGAAAGGAAACAUUUGCUAAUAUGUAUUAUAUAAGAGUACAAAUGGUAUAAAGAGAUAGUAUAUGUUUGUUCAUAAAAUUCUCAACUACAGGCUAAAAUCGUUUGCUUUUUGUUUUGGACGAUCAUGACACACAUGCUUAUAAUAUAAAGAUAUUUAUGUGUAUAAACAUUCAAAAAAAGAGAGUAAAUGGUCUAAGAUAUAGAAAAGGGUGGGUCGACUUUCCUGAUAGAGAACUAAAGGGACGAAAAUAUUGUAUAGAAUCAAAUUGGAAUUUUGAAUUUUGAGAUCAAAUUAGUCAAGUAAAAAUUGUAAAAUUGAUGGCCAAAAAAACCCUUAGAUUACUUAGUUAUAUUAAUCUACCCACCCUAAUAUACAGACGGGCAAAUGCGACAAUAAUAAAUGCCAAUUGAAAGAUA